rnacentral:rRNA from 1 species
AGAGUUUGAUCCUGGCUCAGGACGAACGCUGGCGGCGUGCUUAACACAUGCAAGUCGAACGGUGAAGUCCCUUCGGGGGCGGAUCAGUGGCGAACGGGUGAGUAACACGUGGGCAAUCUGCCCCUCACUGUGGGAUAACUCCGGGAAACCGGGGCUAAUACCGCAUAUGAAGCCUGGCGGCAUCGCCGGGUUUGGAAAGUUUUUCGGUGAGGGAUGAGCCCGCGGCCUAUCAGCUUGUUGGUGAGGUAAUGGCUCACCAAGGCGACGACGGGUAGCCGGCCUGAGAGGGCGACCGGCCACACUGGGACUGAGACACGGCCCAGACUCCUACGGGAGGCAGCAGUGGGGA